UACGAAGGGGCUAGCGUUGCUCGGAAUCACUGGGCGUAAAGCGCACGUAGGCGGACUCUUAAGUCGGUGGUGAAAUCCUGGAGCUCAACUCCAGAACUGCCUUCGAUACUGGGAGUCUCGAGUCCGAGAGAGGUGAGUGGAACUGCGAGUGUAGAGGUGAAAUUCGUAGAUAUUCGCAAGAACACCAGUGGCGAAGGCGGCUCACUGGCUCGGUACUGACGCUGAGGUGCGAAAGCGUGGGAGCAACAGG
rnacentral:rRNA from 1 species